rnacentral:misc_RNA from 1 species
UUAAAUGAUUGCGCUUUCACGCUCAGACAGCAAAGACCUUGCAGAGUUCGGUAAGACUUUGGUGGACACAGGCCUGGGAAACUAGUUCCCUGGCGGCUGAGUGGCGGGCCCACCAAAGCAACAGAUUGAGGUAAGCAAGGGUGGCCAGGUGAAAGAUCACUCCCUUUCCAGGGCGACCUUCACGGCUCGUUAAUGAUCCUUCCGCAGGUUCACCUACGGAAA